rnacentral:rRNA from 1 species
AACGAACGCUGGCGGCAGGCCUAACACAUGCAAGUCGAGCGGACCCUUCGGGGUUAGCGGCGGACGGGCGAGUAACGCGUGGGAAUAUGCCCUUCUCUACGGAAUAGUCCUGGGAAACUGGGGGUAAUACCGUAUACGCCCUUUGGGGGAAAGAUUUAUCGGGGAAGGAUUAGCCCGCGUUGGAUUAGGUAGUUGGUGGGGUAAUGGCCUACCAAGCCGACGAUCCAUAGCUGGUUUGAGAGGAUGAUCAGCCACACUGGGACUGAGACACGGCCCAGACUCCUACGGGAGGCAGCAGUGGGGAAUCUUAGACAAUGGGGGCAACCCUGAUCUAGCCAUGCCGCGUGAGUGAUGAAGGCCUUAGGGUUGUAAAGCUCUUUCAGCUGGGAAGAUAAUGACGGUACCAGCAGAAGAAGCCCCGGCUAACUCCGUG